AUGAGAAGCAUCUGAAUGAGCAGCUAAUGCGUGAAGCAAGAACUGAAAGCAGAAAGAAGAUGGAUCAAGAGGACAGGAGAGAUAAGCAAACAAAGCAGCAUCUUCCAUGGACAUCAGUACCUUUUCCCAACAAGUCCAAGACCCAGGGCUCCAAAAUACCACUCAUAAGGUUGUACUUCCAGCUACUUGCCUGUUUCCACGUGUGCGUGCUAAGUCACUUCAGUAGUAUCCAGUUCUUUGCAACCCCAUGGACUGUA